AUUGAACGCUGGCGGCAGGCCUAACACAUGCAAGUCGAGCGAGCGGCGGACGGGUGAGUAAUGUCUGGGAAACUGCCUGAUGGAGGGGGAUAACUACUGGAAACGGUAGCUAAUACCGCAUAUCACAAGAGGUGCCCAGAUGGGAUUAGCUAGUAGGUGGGGGAACGGCUCACCUAGGCGACGAUCCCAAGCUGGUCUGAGAGGAUGACCAGCCACACUGGAACUGAGACACGGUCCAGACUCCUACGUGAGGCAGCAGUGGGGAAUAUUGCACAAUGGGCGCAAGCCUGAUGCAGCCAUGCCGCGUGUGUGAAGAAGGCCUUCGGGUUGUAAAGCACUUUCAGCGGGGAGGCGUUACCCGCAGAAGAAGCACCGGCUAACUCCGUGCCAGCAGCCGCGGUAAUUC
rnacentral:rRNA from 1 species